UUGAUUGAUUCAAUCGUGACUCGGACGCAGGGAUGCAGGGUUGCGCGGUCCGCCGGGGGCCCCGACGCCCGAAGGCCGGGUCGCCCCCGAGGCAACUGGGUCGGAUAACAUGGGGUGGGAGGUCGGGCCCGGGGGCCCUCGCUCGGUAAUGAUCCCUCCGCAGGUUCACCUACGGAGA
rnacentral:misc_RNA from 1 species